GCAGUUCCUCCUCCGCCAACUCGGCGCCGUCGACACGCUGCGGUGGCCAGCGGCCUCGCGCUAGGUCGCGCGUCCUCAUCGAGCCGGAGCAGCAAACCCUGCGCUUGGCGGUCGUAGGCGACGUCGACGUAGCCUCCGUCGAGUGCCGCGCGGGCGCAGGCGUUCCACUGCGGCGGGAAUCAACCGUUCUUUUGCUGAGAUACUACUCCGUACUGCUAGAAAAUCUUCUAAAAUCUUCUAGACAGGAUGUAGUCAGUCACCAUAUUUCUCCAGCAUGCCCAUGUUUCUGAAAAUUUGCCAUGCCAGGUGAAAUACCACUACGCUUCUGCAUGCCUUUCAGAGUCACAUUGGCAGGACUACUUUUGCUUAUUUCAAACUCCAAGGGCUGAUGUUUCAUCACAGGGCCAUUGGAUUCUUUCUUCAUUUUCUUUGAUGCUCUCAGGUUAUCACGAUCAACUCCUACACUACUCAUUGGAUUUGACUGAUCUUUCUCAACAAUUUCUCCUGCAGAAAUGUAAACCAUUAGAAUCAAAACAAGAGAAAGGUAUUAGUAAACCUCACAAUACUUUAGGUGAUUCACCUUUAUCUGAUGAUUCUGCUAUCUUCCGUUUUUCCUUGAGUUUAGGGAAGCAAUCAACACCAUCAGUUUUACUACUAGAAGGAACAUGUGGUUCCUUUGAGGGCUUUGACAUAUCAGCCAAGUCAAAAAUCAUUUCCUACAUUGGCUCCACCAUGGGAACCUUUCACCUUCCCCGAUAUACUGAUGUACUGUAUAUUUCCCUUAAAAGUUGGAGCAAUAGCUGCGACUAUGCCUGCCGUAUCAUCAUGACCACCAUCCUUAAUACUAUUUUCAGGUGCAGGAACUAUAUAAAGAGCACGAAGGGCUCUUGUGGUCUCAUCUUCAGAUAUUUUGCAGCUAUUCAUUCCAGGCCUACAAUAUGUAGCAAAUAUCAAAAUAAACCUGCUUAUACCAAACAACACAUAUAACAGUACUUGCAAGAAAUGAAUAAAGUGGAUGCACUUACAGCCAACUCUGCAUGCUACACCGCCAUUUUUAUAUCUGGAUUCAUCCCAUAGGGUAGAAGGCGCCAGUUCUCACACUUGUCGGAGCACACCCAUUGUUCAUUUAUUACAAUAGGUGCUGGCGCAGUCAGGGAUGUGGAUGAUUAUGCAGUCCCAUUCGUAUAUACUAAUGGCAAAGGAUCUGAUUUGUUAUCAAACAAGGUAGAGAUCUUGAACUCACCAUCAUUUCCAACUCCUGAUUUGGUACCAGUCUCCCCAAAUAAAAUGUUUUUUUUAUCAAGCUUCACACUCUUAUCUUUUGGAUAUGAAUUAGCCAAAUCAAUUGUAGGGUCUAAAGCAUAAUCUUGAUCUUCACCAUAAGAUUUUCUGUGUCUGCCUUCAUUCAAUUGUUUCUGUGCCUUGAAAUUGAGCUUCUUCCCAGACAGGGCAGCUUGCGAAGAGGAAACUUUCUUGUUCUUGCCUUUUAUCAGUCCUGAAUAAUUUCUAUCAACAUUUCCUUCCAUGAUAUCCACGCAUUCUGCAUCAAACAGGCUUCUCAUUUCCUUACUUUUGUACUGAGAUACUUCCUGUUUUACAUGCACUACUUUUUCCUUCUCCCUCUCCAGCAACAAAGUUUUGCUAUGAAUGCUUUCAAGGUGACUAGAACUGAUAGAAUGUUGAUUGUUGUACUCUUCAGAAUCAUAACUGAUUUUAUAUGAAAAUCCAUGAUCAAGUGAAGUUUCUUUCUUACUGUCUUUGUUUUUGUCAUUAACGUGUCUUUUUAAUGGACCCUUCUUUGAUCCCUGCAUUUGAUCUGAAAUCCCACCAGUAAAUUUUUCAAACGCCUCAACUGAAUGUUCUGUCUUUGUGAUUGUAGGGAACCAGUAUCAUCUGAAACAUCCUGUACAUGAGGCAUGGUUCCCUUAUUCACAGUAGAUGUGUAGCAGAGGCUGUUUGGCCCCGACCUCUGUGCAAUUCUGCUUUGCCAUCAUUAAAUUCAGAACAAUGCUGGGGAGAAAGAUCUCACUUCGGUUUACAGUCUCACAGGGCUAAACACGAUUCUACUAUUUCUGCCAGAGCUUCUAUUGAAGACACGCCUACAUAAUUUUAGACCAAAGCAGGAAAUGCUGGCUAUGACAUUUGCAGCUAUUGACAACGACUGUUAAAGGAAUCUAUGGAAACAAACUGUUCUCAUGCUCCAUUUGGCGAUUUGACGAACCUCUCUAAUGCAGUAGAGGCUGAGAGCGCACUCAAUUCACAGUCAGCAAACAAUGAUAAAAAGCAAUGUAAGCGGGAAAGGGAUAGAGCAAGGUAUGCUUCAAUGUCUCAAGAACAGAAGAAUGCAAGAAACCUGAGGCAGCGUGAAGCACGUAAAAAAAAGAAAUAAUGUCAGAAUUCCAUGGAAACAAAAUGUUCUCGUGCUCCAUUUGGUGAUUUGACAAACUACACUAAUGAAGGAGCUGACAGUGCAUCCAAUUCACAGUCAACAGACAAUAAUGCAAAGAACCGUAAGCGGGAAAGGGAUAGAGCAAGGCAUGCAGCAAUGUCUCAAGAAGAGAAGGAUGCAAUAUGUCUGAGGAAGCGUGAAGUGCAUCAAAAAAAGAAAGGUGAUAGACGCGUUACAUAUUUGUGGUGUUACAAAUACAUUACUUGUAAUUUGGAUGGGUCAAGAUCACAGGGAUCUUACAAAUUAGUUGGACCUUUACACACUUCUACCUGCUUUGUAAUAUUUCUCAAAUAUUUCUACUCUGGUAUUGGAGUAUGUAUGGUUGUCAUAAUAUCUCUACAACAUGAAUGGAGUACGAUGCCCAGUAGAGUUCCUCGCA